AGCGAACGCUGGCGGCGUACUUAACACAUGCAAGUCGAACGAGGAUCGCCUGUGUAGCAAUACAUAGGCGGUUCUAGUGGCGUACGGGUGAGUAACACGUGGGCAACCUGCCCUUGAGUCCGGGAUACCCUCUCGAAAGGGAGGCUAAUACUGGAUACGUUCCGUCGGGUCGCGAGAUCUGGGGAGGAAAGGUGGCGAAAGCUGCCGCUCUUGGAGGGGCUUGCGGCCUANCAGCUAGUUGGUGAGGUAAUGGCUCACCAAGGCUAUGACGGGUAGCUGGUCUGAGAGGACGACCAGCCACACGGGAACUGAGACACGGUCCCGACUCCUACGGAGGCAGCAGUGGGAAUUUUCCGCAAUGGGCGAAAGCCUGACGGAGU
rnacentral:rRNA from 1 species